GUGACCUGCGGAGGAUCAUUAGUGAUUAUGAAGGGUUGCCUUCUGUGCUGGCUGCGGCAAGUGCACGAUGGUGGCUUUCAUCCAACACCCUGUGAACCUCUGGCCUCUUGCUGGCUUCGGCUGGCUGAGGAUUUACACAAACUCGCAUGUAUUGAGGACCCUUCAUGUGCGCAAGCACUAAUAAUAUAUACAACUUUCAACAACGGAUCUCUUGGCUCUCGCAUCGAUGAAGAACGCAGCGAAAUGCGAUAAGUAAUGUGAAUUGCAGAAUUCAGUGAAUCAUCGAAUCUUUGAACGCACCUUGCACCCUUUGGCAUUCCGAAGGGUAUGCUCGUUUGAGUGUCAUUGUACUCUCACACUCCCAAUUGCUUUGGAUUGGGAGCGGUGGACUUGGGUGUUGCUGCUUGACUGAGGCUCACCUGAAAUAUGUUAGUGCACCUCUUGAUUGGACAUAGUACGGCGUGAUAAGUGUCUUCGCCGGCUCCUCGCAAAGAGGGUGGCCGAUCGGGAGCUCUGUUGCUUCAAACUGUCUUCGGACAAUCUUCUGGCGACUUGACCUCAAAUCGAGUAGGACUACCCGCUGAACUUAA
rnacentral:rRNA from 1 species